AUUACACCACAUAAUAUUAUAAUGUUGUCAACUCAAAAUCUUAUGCGAUCAAACCCACAUAAACUAAACCCGAAGGGGGCGUCGGAUUUAUAUGGGUCUUGUAACUAUUUGUGAGAAAAAAAAAAUAAGACUUCUCUCUCGUUCUCACCUUGUUCUCAAAUCAACUAAGGUAGAUCUCCUUGUCAAUCUGUGAUUUCUCCCUGUGCAGUGGCUUAACAAGAGCCAACUCCACGAUGCUCCACCACCAUAUAUGAUGCCUUUGCCGCGCAACAUCAACUCCACCAUAAGCUCAUCGUGCGACACCCACCCACUGCGUGAUACCACCUUCAUUGCAACCAACUAUGUGACACCAUCUCUACCUUGCAAUGCAAUUGUUCUCCCUGUCCUUCACCACCUAAGGUUUGAGUUUUCAUUUGGGUUUAAUUUUUUAAUUGAGGUUUGAUUUGUAUAUUAGGGUUUUAUUUUAUUUUCUUUCAAUUUAAUCAUGUUUUUCCGUUAUAAUCAAACAUUCGUGGCAAUUGAUUUAUGAAAAAUAAGGGACUAAUUGCUCGCGGUGGGUUUUUCGCCAAGCACAGAAAAUUGCCCCUGUUGGGAUUAGAUAAGAACAAAGGAAUACACAUCUCUACAUAUAAUUGUGUGUGUGUGUGCGUGUGUGUGUGUGUGUGAAAUGAUGCGGUAAAAUGCAAAAGCAUCUACUUGAAUGUCUUUAUCUAUAAUGAACAGCUAGUAAUUGAAAUAUAAGUGUGCAACCCAAGAGGGGGGUUGAAUUGGUAUUUUAAAAAUUAUUCUAACAAAGCCACACAACAAUCUAAUCUAACGCCUUAAUAAAUUCGAAAGCAACAAGUUCAAUAAAAACACAAUAACAAAUGAGCAAGGGAGAAGAGAAACAAACACAUGAAUUUGUACGUGGUUCGGCAAUCCCCGCCUACGUCCACGCCUCCAAGAGAUCCAAGCUUGAGGAUUUCACUAUCUGAACCUUUUCAAGGCUUCAAACGUUUAUAAUUGACUUCAAGGUGUCAAUGAACAUUUACAACAAAGAGAUUAUCUCCCAAUAUCUUCACUCAAGUGUCUCACACACUCAAACACUUACAAUUAAGAUAAAGAAAUGAAAGUUACAACAAAACUCACUCAAAGAGUAGAUAUUCAAAAUGAAGAACAAGAGAUGAUUCAAUGUUUUAUGAUUUGUGAAUUGAGAGCUCAAGAUAUCUCGUGUGCUUUUUGUUUUUGCUUGCUAGAGAGCUUGAAAAUGAAUUGGAUUUAAGUUUAUAAAGUUUGAGCUAAAAAACUAGCCGUUAUGCACAUUUUGGUCAUAACUGGCUUACCGUUUAUGGAAUUCCCGCUUUUACGUUAUCGUUAAGGCAAAAAUUUGAAUUUCAGAAUAUCCGGCAUGCCGCUUUUCAUAUCCGGUUAGCCGCUUUCGAAAUCCGGAUAGCUGUUUAUGCUCCAGAAGCUUACUACCCAAAAUCCGGAUUGCCGCUUAUCAUAUCCGGUUAGCCUCUUGCUACAGUAACUGCUACAGUGAAAUAUUUUUCAAAAUUAUAAUUUAACCCCAAAACUUUAUAAAAAUAUAUUAUGGCUCAAAUCGUUAUGAAAGCUUUCAAAUAGGUCCAAUUUCAGGAUUUCUAAAUAAUGCUUUGUCAAUCCCAAAACUUUCUGAAAUUAUGAUUUCACCCAAACUAUGUGAAAUUAUAGAAUGACCCAAAAUAUUUAAAUAUUUUCAAAUAGGUCCAAAUAUGAAAUUUUAAAACAAUAUCAAAGGUUUUAAAAUAUUUUCAUUUUAGUCCAAAACACUUUAGUUCUAUAACAUCAUUUUCUUAUUAUAAAAGCACAAUUCAUAAAUCUUUGUUUAAUCAACACAUGUGGUUUGUUCUCAUCAAAAUCAAUAUCUAUAGCCAUAUAGGCUAACAAUCUCCCCCUUUUUGAUGAUGACAAAACACAUUAUAAAAAUUUAAUCUAGUUAUGAAAAGCUCCUCCUUAAUCAAUGUAAGGUUAAAAAACUAAUUUGAAAAUUAUUUAAAAGACUCCCCCUGCAUACAUGCAUAUUUUUAUAACACAUAUUAGAUUAUUCUCCCCCUUCAUCAUCAAAAAGAAUAAAAGCUCCCCCAAUCAAUCAUCAAAGUCGCAAUACAAGCACAUUAGUUCAAAAUAUUCAUAAGCAUAAGGAAAUCCAUAUAAUCCAUAACAAACAAUCAAAAUAAAUCCAUAUCAUCCAAAACAAAUACAUAAUCCAAAAGCAUAAUAACCAUCCAUAUAGUCGAAAAUAAAAGGACAUAAAGCAGUAAAUGAUAUGUAGGUGUGUCCAAAAACAAGAAUAAGAGACUACUGAGGUGGUGAGGAUGGUGGUGAUAAAAGAGGAUACGGAUAUGGAAUGCCAAAGUGCUUAAAAAGGAGGCGUUGUCCAUGAAUGAGUUGUUGCUGCUGCUACUAAAACUCAAUCUGCAGCACAGAGAGUGUCCUCACUUCAUCCAUAAGCCGCUGAAGAGUAACCUCUUCAGAUGUAGGAGGUUAUGGAGGUGAUGAGGCAGAUGUAGAGACACUAGGAGCUGAAGCAAUCACAUGAGGAUCUCGGCGUCUACGCUGGCCCCGAAAUGAGAGUGAGAAAAUAGGUAGUUGAUCCGCUGGAACCACAUCAUUAAGUGGCCGAUCAUCGCUUGGAGCAACAAAGGUAAACUUGUUUUCAGUGAAUUUGACCCAAGUGCCAUUUUUCCACCCAAAGCCUAAGCCAAAUAUAGCGUCAUCCUCGAUACCCUUAGACGGUCUACACGACGGUUCUUGAAUCGGUACAUCAAAAUAUUUAAGGAUUCGGGUAAUGAAGUGACCGUAUGGAAGGGAGCGGGUAAUCAAGGCAGGUACAAUCAACAUGGUUCGGAUGAUGGUAUAGCCCAAGUUAACCAGACGAUGUCUAAGAAUACAAUCAAUCAAAGUAACAUCCAUGUGAGAAACCUCAUCUAAAUGCCCUAAUCUAGGAAGAACAAUGGACUGAAUAAGGCGAAGCAAAAUGUGAGUUUGAAGACAAACACACUGAGUACGAAAAUGAAUGGUACAAUCUUCAACAGAAAGAUCAUUACGACUACAAAUAUUACUAACGGCGUCAACAUGAACAUAGCUAUCAAUUUCGGGAGAUUUCCUAGGCGAAUAAAUUUCUAGACCAAAAUCAGAUGAUCCUAGGAUAGAGUAUAACAGGGAAACAUCAAAAUCAAUCAAAACUCCGCUGACAUUGGUGAUUACUCGAGUCUUGUUCUUCUCGAAAACUUCCACAUUCGAGUAAAACACUUUCACCAAGUCGGGAUACAUAUUCUCCUCAAUCAUAAGUGCAUCAAUCCAACCAACAUCUCCCAACAAUUGAAAUAAGUUUCUAUGACUAAUAGUGAGAGUAUUAAUCCAAUCCGGUAAAACAUAGAACGUAUUGAGUACCUCACGAGUCCUGAAGCUUUGUUGAAACCGUUUGACUAAAUGUUUCUUGUUCUGAAAGUGUGUGGACUCAAAAUUGGAUUGAUUUGAGGUGCCCCCUACUUGCCGUGACCGAUUGGUUUGUUGAACCGGUUCUUUGCCUUUUCUUCAAACUGGCCGUGAGCUUGACAUGUUGAUUUGGAGUGAUUUGAAGUGAAAUAAGGCAAUGAAAAGGGAGAUAAUGAGGAUUGAAAGAGAUUUUGAGAAGUAAUUUGGAUAAAAAUACGGCUUAGGAGGAAGAAAUCUAGAGAGAGAGAAAAAUUGGUUAAACCCUAGAUUUGAUUUCGAAUAUAUUGAUUUUGAGGUUGAAAAUGGAUUUGAAGGAUGAUUUUAGGCAUAAGAAUGGAUGGGAAACAAGUUUUAUGGAUUGAUUUGCAUUACAAAAUGAGUAGAAAUGGUGGAUUUUGGAGUGAAAACAAGAGAGAGAGGAAUCGGUUUUAGAGAGAGAGUGAGAUCCGGAUUGCCGAAAGAGAGGGAGAAGAUGAACAAUUAAUAAAGCCUCGAAUUCGGAUUGCCGAAUUUCACUAACUGGUUAGCCGGUUAGUGUCCAGAAGCAUGAAAGCCGAAAAUGGCUUGCCGGAUGCAAUAUCCGAUUUUCUGGAUAUUUUCCAGAAUGUGUCAAUAACUCAUUCGGCUUACCGGUUUGAUUAACCGACUGCCCGAUUUUGAGGCAAAAUAUUGCUUCACGAAUUCGGCUUUCCGAAUUGAAGAACCGAUUAGCCAGUUGUGAGGCUGGACCAUGCAAACCGUAAUCGGUUUGCCGAAUUUGAAGAAUCGACUGUCCGGUUUUGAGGCAAAGAGGAAGCUUAGCAAAUCCGGCUUUCUAGAUUGAAUAACCGGAUGACCGAUUUUCGUCCAAUGAGCUCCAAAAUACAUUCGGCUUUCCGGUUUGAUAAAUCUAGUUAUCUGAAUGUUGACCCGAGAACAACCAAAGCUAAUCCGACUUACCGGUUUGCUAAAUCCGGUUAUCCAGAAUUUGUCCCGAGAGGAAUUAAUAAGAAAGCAGUUUUCCGGUUGAGAGGAAGUGGUAUACCGGUUUAGACUUGGAAAUCUUUUUGUCUCUAAUUGAAUUUUGGCAAACUCUUAUACUUGCAUUAUAUACAUCAAUUUAUUUUUGGCUUAAAAUUUGAUCAAUUUUAAAUCAUUUUGAGAUUUAAAACUUUUCAAUAAACCACUCAAUGCAUGAACCAUAAAUGCAUACAAUAAUAAACAUAUUAACUUAAUCAACAAAUCAUAAUUCAAAAUGCAGCUUGUCUUUAUAAAAUGCUCUUCACUAAGAGGUUUUGUAAACAAAUUUAAUCACAACAUCUCCUUUUUCUUUAUAAAAUGCUCUUCACUAAGAGGUUUUGUAAAGAUAUCCGCAAGUUGAUUUUCAAUAGAAACAAAUUUAAUCACAACAUCUCCUUUUUUAACAUGAUCUCUAAGGAAGUGAUGCCUAAUUUCUAUAUGCUUAGUCCUAGAAUGUUGAAUGGGAUUCUUAGAUAGAUUUAUAGCACUAGUAUUGUCACACAAGAUAGGUAUUUGAUUGAGUUUAAUACCAUAGUCUCUAAGGGUUUGUUUCAUCCAAAGAAUUUGUGCACAACAACUACCUGAGGCAAUAUAUUCUGUCUCGGCGGUUGAAAGCGCAACCGAGUUUUGUUUCUUACUAAACCAAGAGACAAGUGAAUGGCCUAGGAAGUGACAUGUUCCACUAGUACUUUUUCUAUCAACCUUAUAUCCAGCAAAAUCGACAUCCGAAUAGCAAGUUAGGUCAAUAUGAUUUCCCCUAGGAUACCAAAGGCCAAGAUUAAUGGUGCCAAUCAAAUAUCGAAAAAUUCAUUUGACAGCAAGCAUGUGUGACUCUUUAGGACAAGAUUGAAAUCUAGCACACAAGCAUACACUAAACAUAAUAUCAGGCCUACUAGCAGUCAAAUAGAGUAAGGAUCUGAUCAUACGUCGAUAUGUCUUGAUAUUAAUUUCCUUACUUUUCUCAUCUUUGUCCAGCUUGAUGGUAGUACUCAUUGGAGUGCUUUUUGCCGUUCCAAUAUCAUAGCCAAAUCUUUUGAGUAGAUCUUUCACGUACUUGGCUUGAUUUAUGAAAAUUUCUUCCUCGUUUUGUUUGAUUUGAAGUCCAACAAAGUACUUCAACUCUCCCAUCAUACUCAUCUCAAAUUCUUUGCUCAUACACGAUGAAAAUUCUUUACACAACAAUUCAUUAGUAGAACCAAAAAUAAUAUCAUCAACAUAAAUAUGAACAAUAAGUAUAUCUUGGUUCUUAUUCUUAACAAAUAAAGUUGUGUUCGUUUUUCCCAUUGAAAAAUUGUUAUCUAACAAGAAGUUUUUAAGCCUAUCAAACUAAGCUCUAGGUACUUGUUUUAGUCCAUACAAAGCCUUAGAUAACUUAUACACAUGAUCUGAAAUUUUUUAUUUUCAAAACCAUGAGGUUGUUUCACAUAAACUUCCUCCAUAAUAUAACCAUUUAAGAAAGCACUCUUGACAUCCAUUUGAUAUAAAAUAAAAUUCUUAUGACAUGCAUAUGCUAACAACAUCCUAAUGGAUUCUAACCUAGCUAUAGGUGCAAAUAUUUCAUCAAAAUCAAUUCCUUCUUCUUGGUUGUAACCUUGAGCCACUAAUAUAUCCUUAUUUCUUACAACCACACCGGAUUCAUCCAUUUUGUUUCUAAAUACCCAUUUAGUGCCUAUAAUAGAUUGAUGUUCUAGAUUAGGAACUAAUUCCCACACAUUGUUUCUCUCAAAUUGAUUCAACUCCUCUUGCAUUGCCAUAAUCCAAGAUUCAUCAUUUUCUGCAUCCGCAAAAGAUUUUUGUUCAAUUAGAGAAAUAAAUGCAACAUGCUCACAUGUGUUCCUAAAAGAUGAUCUAGUUGUAACACCUCGUGAGGGAUCUCCUAAAAUUACAUCCUUAGGGUGAGAAGAAACAUACCUCCACUCCUUGGGGAGUAUUUGAGAAGUACCUUCAUUUUGCUCUGCAUUUGUUUCUUCAUGAUGUUCCUCUUGAAUUCCAUGUGGUGCAUCUUUUUGGUUGUCAUUUGAUGUUUCUUCUUGUUGUCCUUCUUCUGUGUUAUCAUUAACAACGACUUUCUCUGUAGAGAAGGGAUUAGACUCAUCAAAUGUAACAUGCAUAGAUUCUUUCACAACCAAAGUUCUUUUAUUAUAAACUCUAUAAGCUUUGCUUGAGUUUGAAUAACCAAGAAAAAUACCAACAUCAGAUUUUGGAUCAAAUUUACCAAGAUUAUCUUUUGGGUUCAAAACAAAACAUUUGCAUCCAAAGACUUUAAAAUAGCCAAUGUUGGGUUUUCUAUCUUUCCAAAGCUCAUAUAGAGUUUUAUUAAGAUUAGGUCUAAUCAACACACGAUUCAAAAUAUAACAAGCGGUGUUGACAGCUGUUGGUUGAUUUGUAUAGGCAAUUACUACCAAUGCCAAUGUACAAGUAUACACAAUAAGUAAUAAAGUGAUAAAUAUGCAAGAUCGUCUCCACAGAGAUUGAUAUUAUCAAAAUGUUAAAGCAAUCACAAUAGUGCAAUUCAACUUAGGACCGAAACAAACAAUUGUAAAGUAAUCGAGGGUUGUGAAAGAAUUAAAUAAAAUAAUACCGUAACGAAAUAAACUAAGUUAAAUGUGUUUAAGAUUCAAUUGAAAUUAUAGUAGUUGAAUGAUCAAACUCUCCUAAUGGGGUGACUGUUGUCUAUCAAUUUAGCAUCAGUUGUUACAAUAAGUGCUACAGCACUGGGCAGAAUAAAUUUGCAUCCGCAGCUAUCGUAUGUUGGAAGUCUUAUACCUUUAAAUCUAUUAACAAUGACCAGCUGCUAAUAUACUUAUGGUACGACAUUAUAACCUUUAAUAUCUCCACCCUACAAGGUGAACACUAUGUCUAGUGUGUCACAAAUCCUAACGUCAAGUAUUGCCCUUAUGGGAUUCAAGAUAACUUAAUCCAAGAAACUCAACUUAAGAUCAAGUAGUACUCUAGUAAUAUCCGCUAAGACAUGCCCUUUUGCUGUUCUAUCUUAACUGAAACUAUUAAAUGGGUGGUCAACCGAAAUAACAGUUAUAUUCAUAAAAGAACUACUAGAGUAAAAUGCUACAGCAAUACUAUAACAACAUAUAAGAACAGUCAAGAACCCAUUAGAUUAUUUGUCACUCAACUACAAGUAAAUUUAGUUCAUAUUCCGAAAGAGAAAAAUAAACAUAAAUAUAUUAUUCUCAUAAUACAUCAAAACAAUUAAAGGAAGAAGAUAAAUAUAAGUGAGCACAGUGAAAGAUAAUUCCAAAUAAUUCUGAUCGAUUCUCCUUUGAUCUUCUUUUUUUUUUCUCGUAAUUAUUCUAAUGAUAAUUCCCUUGCCACCUUUCUAUGUGGUGCACGCCUCCCUUUUAUAUUGCAAAUUAGGGUAAAAAAAAUCCAUGAGCAUGCAUGCGUUAAAUUAGCUGCUGUACGGCCAAGGCGGAUGUACGGUACAGCAGUUUUUCCCAUUGAAAAAUUGUUAUCUAACAAGAAGUUUUUAAGCCUAUCAAACUAAGCUCUAGGUACUUGUUUUAGUCCAUACCUGCUGUACCGUACAUNNNNNNNNNNNNNNNNNNNNNNNNNCAACAGCACUGCAUUAUUCCCGAUUGUGCUUUUCUUCUUUUGUGGCCAUCUUCUUUCCUCCUCUUGCUCAUCUAUUGUCUCAACAUCCCCUCAUGAAUUAAGACUUUCUGAGAACCUAUAAUUAUGCACUUGUUUUUAGCACAAAUUACUUUGAUUCAAGCAAAACUUAUUAAGACUCAACUAAAAUGAAUGUUUAUGCAAAAUGUAACUAAAAUGUAAUAAAAACACCAUAUUUGUUCUCUAAGUGAUCUUGAUUCAAGUCUAGAAUUGAUGUAAUAACUCUCAUUUCCUAGAGUUAUCACACCCCCAAACUUAAACUAUUACUUGCCCUCAAGUAAUAACACAUACUAACACUUCCCGCAAACAAUCAUGCACACACUUCAUUCAUAAAUAGGGUAGCAUAGAUUUCACCUACUCAAACUGUGAUGCUUUUAUCAUUGAUAAAUUGGGGAGUAAUCAACCUCCUCACUGUAACAUUUAUCUUUCAUGUGAAUGUCAAUCACUUGUAAUGAUGACGCCCAAUUACUCAAACAAUGCCCAGAUCAGAGUUAUUGCAGCAAUAUUUACUGUAUAAUCCUAUCUAGAGGUAUCUUUUACUCAAGGCUGAACAUGGAGAUCAUGAACAGACUUAGCUACUCAAUGCCUUAGACAGAGGACUUGUUUUUUUUUUUGAUGCUACAGCAUUGCUCAUAACUCUUGCUACCUUUGACAUAAUUCUGCAUAUGGGGUACAUACUCAAAUCUGGUUACUCAGCAGCUGGAGCCAUUGGAGUAGAGUUUAUUUCAUAGAUAUCACAGUCAAUCAACUUGUUUCUCCCCCCAAACUUAAGAUCUUUUCUAUUCUUUUGGCUUUGCUCUAACAGUCUCAUACGAUUCAACCAAGGUCUAAGUGUUGGGACAGAAUUUCACUUCUAUCUAUAACUAUCCCUACUUGGCAUUCUUAUAAAUACUAAAUAACACUCAAUGUAUCUUCAUUAGGUUUUCAAAUCCAUACACAAAUAUCAGAUAACAGAGCCUCACACAACACAAAUAUGCACACAUGCAUUAGAAAACACAACCCCCCCCCAAACUUGAGAGAUGUUGUGUCCUCACACACAUACAUAACAAAGGCACACGAACUGAUAAAGAUAUGUAAUACCGUAGAACAAACAACACAAAUUGACAAACAUAAGGAAUUUUUUUUUUUUUAGAACAAAUGAACUAGUAAGGAAAGAGUACUUCCCCGUAGUGGGGACUGCAGCACAUCACGGGAGACUAUCAGCGCUUCUUGGACGUACUACACAACUUAUCUUUUGGUAAAGCUUUUGGGGAAGUAGCUGGCAAUGUCUUUCUCUUUUUCGCCGCGGGGCUGGCGAGAAGAGUUAUGGUUGGGGUUGCUGUAGCAGUACCGGUAGAUGUACUACCUUUUCGUUUGUUGGAUUGUCUUGGACUGGUGCGAAUAGGCUGGCUAGGAGUUUGCUGGGGAGGCUUUGUAGUUAAUGCAUCAGCUGUCUGGCCCUCAGCUGUGAUGGCAGCAAUGACCGCAAGUAGUUGCUUGGCUUGCUCAGGUGUAGGCAUAGCUCGGGCUACUGCAGCAGCCAACUUAGCAUCGACUUGCUCCAUUUCAUCUUCAGAGGCUGGAGGUAUUGUCAUUUUUGCUUUGCCCUUGUCCUUUCUCUUGCUCGCGAGGACUGGAAUAGAUGGCUCCUCUUCAAGGUCUUUCUCAUCUUCUUCUUGAAUAAUGUGCUUUUUCUUGGUUUUAGGCUGGGCUGGGAUGGUUGGUUCCUUACGUUCCUUCUCUAAAUUGUCCUCUGCUUUUGUGGGUGAGCUAUCAAUCUCAUACUUGUCACCUUCUUCCUCAGGUGGAUCCGAUAGGUCAGCAUCUUUUGAUUCUACCUCUGCUUGUGGUUCGGCUUCAGCUUCAUCCGCUGAUUCAUUUAUGGCAGUGGCUUCCUCACUAGCUUCUACUGGAACACCUGUGGUGUUGGUGUCAAAAUUAUACUGCUGGAGCAGUGUAUCAGGGAAGUUCCGGUGAGUGCGUUUCAUGUACAGAGCAAAUUAGUGUAGUUGGUUGUCUAGGUGUUGUAGAUAACUCUAAAAUCGAUCGUUUUCCCUUUGCUGAGCUUCCACACAUUAAGUUAUACUUGCACUGAGUGCCUGGAUGGUCUGUUCUAAGCCAAUAGCUCGUCUAGCUCCUGUUACAGCAGCUGGUUCAGUGGUUGUUCCAGCAUUCUCACUGGUAACUCUCUCAAUGGUAUGUGCCGUAAAGGCACCAUCAUUCUUGACAUGAUCAUCUUUGGCAUUAAGACGAACACCGGAAACUACACAAAUGCUGGUGAUGAGUGAAAGAAAUAACAAGGCACCAGUUCGGUGAGUCUUGGUUACACAAUCUCGGAUUUCUUUAGUGAUGAUGCUACCCACAUCUAUGGGAAGCCCUUGAAUAAUGACAUAUAACAAGACCAACCUUUCUUGCGACAUUGUAGUGGUGUGAGUGGUGGGCAUAAGCCUAGAUUUCAGAAAUUUCACCCACAACUUAGCAAUAGGUUUCAAAUCUAUCCUAUUAACUACAUGCCCCUCCUCGUUAGCCCAUGAUGCCCCUUUGAUUGUAAGAGUUGUGAAAAUGGUGUUCCAUUUUUUCGGGGCUAACUUAUCACGCAACUUAGCAUACUCACAAGUAAUUUCAGCAGGUAAGUUAUAAAAAGAAUUGAUAACACGGGAGUCUAAUGGGACAAGUGUAUGUCUUACCCAAAUGUUAUGCUGAUUAGGGCUUACCAAAUUGGAGUAAAAUUCUUUGACUACUGGUAGCACAGGAUCUCGAGGGUGGUUGCAAAACUCUAGCCAUCCUUGCUUUGCUGCAGCAUUAUGAAUUGUUUGCACAAUUCUCGUGAGUUGGUCUGGAAAUUGAAACCCUUUUUCUUCCAAAAUCCUGCGCAGCUCUAUGAAUUCUUCAUAUUUUUCUUCAGCGUGGUAACUCUGGAAUCGUGACGGAUCUUUGAGGCAGCUUACUGUUUUCUUAUACCUCGGCAUUGCUAUAGCAAUAACAAGUUGAAGUUAAUGUCCCUAAGAGUAAAAAGAGAAGAAGACUUUUAAGAAUUAAGAGAGUUGUAUUCGCAAAGGAAAUGGGGAAUAGUGUCGUAGAACACUAAGCACAUUGACUCAUUUUUAUAGUGGACUCUUAAUUGAAGAUAAUUACAGUAACCAAAGAUAAAUGAGGGCAUAAAAUAUUUGAAAAGUAAUGUGCAUAUCCCAAAAAUCUCAGUUAAUAAAAUUAAAGCAUUAAUUUCGGAGAUUUGUUCGCAAUUUCUAUCCACAUCCAUGACUUAUCUCCAACGGUAAGUGAGAGGCUCCAUCUUUUAAUUUACUGUAAUGGUAAAAUUGGUUGCUACAGCACCCAUUCGCUUACUUUAGUAACGGUUACAUAGUCCACACUAAAGCCUCUGACACGUGGCUCACCUCUCUACUAUGCCACCAUACAACCUUAUUUGUCAAUAUGGAAUUCAAUUGUCACAUAUAUAUCCCAUAAACUAAAAUUAAUUCUGAAAUUAAAAUAAAAUAGAUCAAAUCAUAGCAAAAGUAAAGAAUGCAAUACUUGUGAAAAGAUAAAAUUAAACAGCUGAAUGAAAUAACAAAAUUAAAUGAAAAGGGUAAGGAGGGAGAGCUUGUCAACAAAACCAAAAGAGAUCAAAAUUAGUUUGAAGUGGCUGUCUCCACAAUGGGUUGCCUCCCAUGGAGCUCUUGAUUUAAGGUCCUUCAGCCUGACCUUCUUUCAUUGUUUAAUAACUGGGUUCUUUAAGGAGUAACACCUCCUUUGAACAAUCUGCUACUGGAUGUAUGUAGUGCUUAACCCUGUGUCCAUUAACUUUGAAUUCUUGACCUAUUUGUUCAUCUAGAAGAUCAACAGCUCCAUGAGGAUAAAACUUUAACAGCUUAAACGGGCCAGACCAUCGUGACUUGAGCUUUCCCGAAAAUAGUCUUAGUUUUAUAUUGUGGAGUAACACCAAUUGACCAGGGUUGAAUUGCCUGUGCUGAAUAUGCUUGUCAUGCCAGUGUUUUGUCCUCUCUUUAUAAAUUCUUGUAUUUUCAUAUGAAAAUAACCUUAAUUCAUCAAGCUCACAAAGUUGAAGCUUCUUUUGUUCUGUUACAGCAUGAAUAUCCCAAUUUAGUUUCUUCAGUGCGUAGUGUGCUUUAUAUUCUAGCUCUAAUGGCAAAUGACAAGCCUUACCAUAAACAAUUCCGUCAGGAGACAUGCCAAGUGGAGUUUUGUAUGCUGUUCUGUAGGCCAAUAGAGAGUCAUGCAAGUGUAAAGACCAAUCCUUCCUCGUUGGGUUCACCACUUUUUCUAAGAUCUUUUUAAUUUCUCUGUUGGACACUUCAGCCUGGCCAUUAGAUUGUGGGUGAUAUGUUGUUGUUAUCUUGUGUCUGACUCCAUAUUUCAUCAUUGCUGCAGCAAAGAUUUUUUUGCAAAAAUGUGUGCCCUCAUCACUAAUGAUUGCUCUAGGAGUGCCAAAUCUGAAAAAAAACAUUUUUCUGAAGAAAAACCACUACUGUUUUAGCAUCAUUGGUAGGUAAUGCUGCAGUUUCUACCCACUUGGAGACAUAAUCCACAGCAACAAAGAUAUAUAAGUUCCCAAAGGAUGGUGGGAAGGGUCUCAUAAAAUUUAUUCCCCAGACAUAAAAAACCUCCAAUUCCAGGAUGUUGGUCAAUGGCAUUUCAUGUCUUCUAGUUAUGUUCCCUGUCCUUUGACACAUGUCACAACAUUUAACAAAUUCAUAAGCAUCUUUAAAAAUAGUGGGUCAGUAAUAACCUGAUUGCAGAACUUUAGCAGCUGUUCUGUGACCACCAAAAUGUCCUUCAUAUGCUGCAGCAUGACAUGCUUCCAAUAUGUGGGGAAUCUCUCCUGCUACAACACAUCUUCGUAUCACUUGAUCUGAGCACAGCUUAUAUAAAUAUGGGUCAUCCCACUGAUAACUUCUAACAUCAUGAAGAAAUUUCUUUUUCUCUUGAAACUCCAGCUCAGAUGGUAGCAUUCCACUUACUAAGUAAUUAGCAAAAUCUGCAUACCAUGGGGGUUCUGACUGCUGCAGCACCUGUGCUUGCUGUAUUGCCAACAGCUGUUCAUCAGGAAAUAUUUCAGUGAUGCCCUUCCUUGUCAAUGUACUAGUGUCUACUUCCAGUCGUGACAAGUGAUCUCCUACUUUAUUCUCACUCUUUCUCUGUAGUAGUGUAAUUGAUCUGAGUUGGAGUGAAAGUUUUACUUGAAAAAUCUUAUCCUUUCCUUGCCCUAGUACUGCUCCCACAGAACGAUCACUAGCAGCACACAUCAAUUCGAAUGGUAAAGUCCAGUCUUGAGAUAUAACUACUGGAUCAGUGAUCAGAGCUUUCUUUAAUUCUCUAAAUGCUUGAAGGCAAUCUUUGUCAAAGUGAAAAGGUUUGUCAUGCUCCAGCAAUGAGCAUAAUGGUUUAGCUACUUUGAAAAAAUCCUUAAUGAAUCUCCUAUAAAAUCCAGUAUGACCCAAAAAACUCCUAAUACCCUUUACUGAAGUUGGAGGUAACAGUUUAUCUAUUACCUCUAUCUUGACUUUGUCCCCCUCAAUGCCAUUCUUGGAUACUUUGUGUCCCAACACUAUUCCUUCUUGCACCAUGAAAUGGCACUUUUCCCAAUUGAGUACUAAGUUGGUCAUCUCACAUCUUUUAAGAACUUCUUCCAAUAGCCCAAAUGGCAUUCUUCUGAAAGCAAAUGUUCCAUAGGGACAAGUAAAUGUAGUCUUCUCUUGAUCCUCUAGAGCUAUAGCAAUCUGGUUGUAGCCUGAAUACCCAUCUAAGAAACAGUAGUACUGUUUUCCAGCAAGUCUGUCCAACAUCUGAUUUAUGAAUGGAAGUGGGAAAUGGUCUUUCCUGGUGGCUUUGUUGAGCUUCCUGUAAUCCAUACAGACUCUCCAUCCAGUUACUGUCCUUGUAGGAAUAAGUUCAUUCUUCUCAUUGGCCAUUACUGUUAUCCCUCCUUUCUUUGGAACACAUUGAACUGGGCUUACCCAUGAACUGUCUGAUAUUGGGUAUAUGAUUCCAGCAUCCAACCAUUUGAUGAUUUCAUUCUUUACUACUUCUUUCAUAAUAGGGUUCAACCUUCUCUGGUGCUCCACUAAAAUGCUGGAACAAUCUUCUAACAAGAUUUUAUGCAUGUAUAUUGAUGGGCUUAUCCCUUUUAUAUCUGCCAUGGUCCAUCCAAUUGCUCUUCUAUAUUUUCCAAGCAAAUCUACUAGACUCUGCUCUUGACUUGCAUCCAAAGUAGAAGAAAUGAUUACAGGCAAUGUGUUAUUUUGACCAAGAUAAGCAUACUUCAAAUGUGAAGGUAACAGUUUUAAUUCAAGACUAGGAGGUGAUUCAAUAGAUGGUAAAGUUGCUUUUACUUCCCUGUCAGAAAGAUUCAGGUGUUCAAUAAACCUGUUGUGCCUAUCAGAUUGUUGUUUGUCCAUCCAAUCUGUCUGAAUUGCUGCAAUAUCUUCCUCUUCGACAUCCUCAAAGGUAGUGACUUUGUCAAGUGUAUUACUGCAGCAUCUGGCCACUCUGUCUGCUACAAUAAAAUCCACUACACUUAGGAAAUUACAAUCUUCUACUUCAUCAGGGUUCCUCAUAGCCUCUAGUACAUUAAAUGUGACUUGCUGAUCAUUCACUCUCAUGGUAAGCUCUUCUUUCUGCACAUCUAUCAGAGUCUUUCCAGUUGUUAGAAAAGGUCUUCCAAGUAUAAUGUGUACCUCUUUAGCAGCUUCAAAGUCCAAUACAAUGAAAUCCACUGAAAAGAUGAAUUUGUCAACCUUCACCAGCACAUCCUCUAUUUUUCCUUCAGGGUAUGCAUGAGAUCUGUCAGCUAGUUGCAGAGUGACUGUUAUUGGUUUGCAUUCUCCUACUCCAAACUGCUUAAAUACAGAUAAUGGCAUCAAAUUAAUACUAGCUCCCAAGUCACAAAUAGCUCUGCCAGCAUACCUAGUCCCUAUGGAGCAGGGUAUUGUAAAACUCCCUGGAUCUUUCAAUUUUGUGGGAAUUUUACUCUGGAGCAUAUGACUACUUUCCUGUGUUAAAGCAACAGUUUCAAACUCUCUCAACCUUCUUUUUCGUGUCAAGAUAUCUUUUAGAAAUUUCACAUAAUUUGGCAUUUGCUCCAAAGCUUCCACAAAAGGUAUAUUUAUGUGCAGUUGCUUCAGCACUCCCAGAAAUUUGCUGAACUGCUUGUCUUGUUUUUGCUUCUGGAACUUUUGUGGAAAAGGUGGUGGAUGUCUAAACUGCCGGGUAGCUUCAGGAGAUAUCAAACUCUGUUUGUUUGGUUUGGUGCAGGUUGUGACUACUGGUGUUGCAACUUCUUUUUCAGCAUGUUCUGGUUGAACUUUCUCUGCAGUUGCUGUAGCUUGGCCAUGUAACCAGUGCCUUGAUGGGGUGGUUGUUGUAACAUGCUCUCAUUUUGAGGUAAUUUUUGUGCUGAAUUGAAUUCCAUCCCAUUUUUUGUUAUAUCAACUAGGAUAUCUACAUUCUUUCCAGAUCUUAAAUUAAUUACUUUGCAGUGUUCUUUGCCUUCCCUCAUGUGGUCUUCUGUGUUGUUAUGUAAGCUUCCUUGAGUUCUGCUGCUCAUUGUUGUGGCUAGUUGUCCCAUUUGGUUUUCCAAGUUUCUCAAGGAUACAGUUUGACUCUGCACGAUUGCUUCAUUCUUUGCAAUGUAUUCCUUAAUCAAUGCUUCCAGUGAAGUGAUUGGAUCUUGAUUGUUAUGCUUUUGCCCUUGACUUUGCUAAUGAAAACUAGGUGGUUGUGUGUUUCUGUUUUGCCCAUUUACUGCUGGAGCAUUUUGAUUCUGACUGCUCCAUGAGAAAUUUGGAUGUUGUUUCCAGCCAGGGUUGUAAGUAUUAGAAUAUAGGUUGUUUUGAGGUUGUCGAUUGAAAUUACCCACAUAAUUUACUGAAGCUGGAUUUCCAGGACAAUUAUCAAAGUCAUGCUCUUCACCACAGUAUACACAAGAAAGUUCAACAACUUGCUUUACUGUUGCUGGAGCAGAUGUCAAGGCCUUUACCAUGUUAGUCAAUGAGGUUACUUGUGCUGACAACGCUGUAAUUGCAUCUAUAUUAUGUACCCCUGCUGAUCCUCUUGAUGCUGGUUGUCUGGCUGAAGGGCACUGGUAAUUAUUAUUGGCAAUUCUUUCCAGAAUUUCAUAAGCUUCAGUGUAAGAUUUGGAUAACAGAGCUCCAUUUGCUGAAGCAUCCACCAUUAACCUUGUACUUGGAUUCAACCCAUUGUAAAAAGUUUCCAAUUGAAUGCAACAAGGAAUACCAUGAUGAGGACAUCUUCUAAGCAAUUCUUUGAAUCUUUCCCAAGCCUCGUACAAACUCUCAUCUUCAAGUUGAUGGAAUGAAAUAAUCUCAUUACGCAACUUUGCAUUUUUUGUAGAUGGGAAAUAUUUCAUCAGGAAUUUAUCAGCCAAUUCAUUCCAUGUAGUGAUGAAAUCAGAUGGUAACGAAUUUAACCAUGCUCUUGCUCGAUCUCUUAAAGAAUAAGGAAAGAGCCUCAGCCUUAAUGCAUCUUGUGUUGCUCCAGUAAUCUUGAAAGCAUCACUUACUUCCAAGAACAAUUUAAUAUGGAGAUGAGGAUCUUCAUUUGGCAGUCCAUUGAAUUGACCAAUUGUUUGCAAUAUUUGAAACAUCACUAGUUUCAACUCAAAAUUUGCAGCGUCUACUUCAAGUCUGAUGAUGCCAGGAUGUACAACUUGAGGAGUUAGCACAGCAUAAUCUCUUAUAGCUCUGUCUCUGUCAUCAGCCAUGUAAAUAAUAUUGUUAUUGCCUGACUGUCUCCCGUUAGCAUGUUCAUUCUGCUCUUCCUGAAUGUUGACUAGUUGUAAGGGCCCGUGAAGAUUCAAAUUCCCUGCAUCCUGUAAAUUAUUCAUGUUUGAAGCAAUUUCUGAAUUCCUUUGUUCUCUUCGCAAUCUCCUGAUAAUCCUUUCAAUCUCAGGAUCAAAUUGGAACACCACAGAUAUGCCAUUGCGCAUGCAUGUACCGAUCUGCCAAUAAAUAGAAUAAAUCAAAUCAAAUUUGGCGCUAUUAAGAUUUACUUCACACAUCAAAAAUAAACAAUCAAUCCCUGGCAAGGGCGCCAAAAACUUGUUGGUUGAUUUGUAUAGGCAAUUACUACCAAUGCCAAUGUGCAAGUAUACACAAUAAGUAAUAAAGUGAUAAGUAUUCAAGACCUUCUCCACAGGGAUUGAUGUUAUCAAAAUGUUAAAGCAAUCACAAUAGUGCAAUUCAAUUUAGGACCGAAACAAACAAUUGUAAAGUAAUCGAGGGUUGUGAAAGAAUUAAAUAAAAUAACACCGUAACGAAAUAAACUAAGUUAAAUGUAUCUAAGAUUCAAUUGAGAUUAUAGUAGUUGAAUGAUCAAACUCUCCUAAUGGGGUGACUGUUGUCUAUCAAUUUAGCACCAGUUAUUACAAUAAGUGCUACAGCACUGGGCAGAAUAAAUCUGCAUCCGCAGCUAUCGCAUGUUGGAAGUCUCAUACCUUUAAAUCUAUUAACAAUGACCAGUUGCUAAUAUACUUAUGGUAUGGCAUUAUAACCUUUAAUCUCUCCACCCUACAAGGUGAACACUAUGUCUAGUGUGUCACAAAUCCUAACGUCAAGUAUUGCCCUUAUGGGAUUCAAGAUAACUUAAUCUAGGAAACUCAACUUAAGAUCAAGUAGUACUCUAGUAAUAUCCGCUAAGACAUGCCCUUUUACUGCUCUAUCUUAACUGAAACUAUUAAAUGGGUGGUCAACCAAAAUAACAGUUAUAUUCAUAAAAGAACUACUAGAGUAAAAUGCUACAGCAAUACUAUAACAACAUAUAAGAACAGUCAAGAACCCAUUGGAUUAUUUGUCACUCAAUUACAAGUAAAUUUAGUUCAUAUUCUGAAAGAGAAAAAUAAACAUAAAUAUAUUAAUCUCAUAAUACAUCAAAACAAUUAAAGGCAUAAGAUAAAUAUAAGUGAGCACGGUGAAAGACAAUUCCAAAUAAUUCUGAUCGAUUCUCCAAUGUUGCCUUCAAUUCCGAUCUUCUUCUUUGUUCCUCAUAAUUAUUAUAAUGAUAAUUCCCUUGCCGCCUUUCUAUGUGGUGCACGCCUCCCUUUUAUAUUGCAAAUUAAGGUAAAAACAAAUCCAUGAGCGUGCAUGAGUUAAAUUAGAAAACAUGCACUGACCCGCGUCUAAGUUUUCUCCUGCAUUGCUCCUAGCUUGCUAUAGCACAGGUUGCUCUAACAUCCUCAACAGUACUGCAUUAUUCCCGAUUAUGCUUUUCUUCUUUUGUGACCAUCUUCUUUCCUCCUCUUGCUCAUCUAUUGUCUCAACAUCCCCUCAUGAAUUAAGACUUUCUGAGAACCUAUAAUUAUGCAUUUGUUUUUAGCACAAAUUACUUUGAUUCAAGCAAAACUUAUUAAGACUCAAUUAAAAUGAAUGUUUAUGCAAAAUGUAACUAAAAUGUAAUAAAAACACCUUAUUUGUUCUCUAAGUGAUCUUGAUUCAAGUUUAGAAUUGAUGUAAUAACUCUCAUUUCCUAGAGUUAUCAACAACUUCAGCCCAAAAAUACUUAGGCAAAGAAUUUUCAUUCAACAUGGUCCUAGCCAUUUCUUAAAUUAACCUAUUAUUUCUCUCUACAACUCCAUUUUGAACCUUUUUGCAAAACUUUAAAAGCAUCAAAGGUAUCAUCCUUAUUAGUUAAGAAUAAUACCCAUGUGAAUCUAGAGUAAUCAUCCACAAUUAUAAAAGCAUAAUAUUUGCCAUUUAAACUAGCAUAUUUAGAAGGACCAAAUAAAUCUAUGUGAAGAAGUUGAAGUGGUUUUGAAGUAAAGAUAUGAUUUUUGUUUUUGAAAGAGGUUUUGAUUUGUUUUCCAACUUGACAAAUUCUAUCGUUUUGAAAACUAAUUUUUGGAAGACCUUUAACCAAAUUAUUUUUCACGAUUUUUGAAAUCCAAUCCAUGCUUGUAUGACCUAAUCUUCUAUGCCACAACCAACCAUCAUCAUGCAAUGCAGAGAAACAUUUAUCAUUUGUAGAUGCACAAUCUAUAUUAAUGAUAUAGACAUUAACACAUCUAUUUCCUACAAACAAAACAUUGUCAUCACAUGCAUUCUCAAUAACACAUUUUGAUUCAUCAAAGAUAACUCUAUAUCCUUUAUCACAUAGUUGACUAAUGUUAAGUAAGUUGUGUUUUAAGUUUUCAACCAAAUAUACAUUUUCAAUGAGAGUAGAGGAUACAUUACUGACAUUGCCAAUGCCAAUGAUUUUUCCUUUUGAAUUAUCUCCAAACGAUACAUCCCCACCAUUUUCGAUCUUGGUAAAACUUGAAAACCAAGAAUAAUUCCCGGUUAUGUGUCUUGAACAACCGUUGUCCAAGUACCACUUAUUCUUCUUCUUCUUCUUCAAGCCCUGUAGAGAAAAUCUCAAGUUUUAGGUACCCAAAUCUUUUUGGGUCCUUGAGAGUUAGCAAUGGUUCCUUUCGGAACUCAAACACAUUUCAUACCAUAAUAUGCAUUUCUCUUCAAUGGACAUCUAUUUUUCAUAUGAUCAUCUUGAUUACAAUAAUGACAUACAAUUUGAUUGUCAAUAGAUGUAUUCUUCACAAAAUAACUCUUAUAAUAUUUUUGUUUCAAAUUUGGCUUAUAACCAAUGCCUCCUUUGUCAAAUACACAUUUUGUGAGUUUAGCAAGUUAUCCAACAUCUUUUGCCCAUUUGUGAAUUUUAGCACAAUCUCAUUUAGUUCAUUGCUCUUCUUUCUAACCAUUUCAUUUUUAUUUUUCAAAUCAUUCACAUGUGACUCUAAAUGCUCAUGUGAAGUGCUAGAAUUCUCAAAUAAUGCAACUCUAUCAAGCAAUGUUUUAUUCUCUAAUUCUAGGCAUGUAAUCUUUGCACUAAAUGAUUCAUUUUCAUUUUUAAAUGCUAUCAUUUUCAUUUUUAAACGCUAUCAUUUUCUUUUUAAGACAUAUAUUCUUUUUACCAAUCUUCAUCAAUUCAUCAUGCAAAUCCUUAAAGACAUCAUGUAAUUCAUCAUAUGUAGGAAGAACACUUACCUCAUCAAUUUCAUUACAUGAUUCUUCCCCAAAGGCCAUGAGAGCUAGAUUAGUCAUCUCUUGUUGCUCUUCAUCAUCGCUUGUUUCCUCAUCACUAUCAUCCCACAUGGCCACCAUAGCUUUCUUCUUGAAUUUGUUGAAGAGAGGACAUUCUGGUCGAAUGUUUCCGGGCUUCUUGCAUUCAUAGCAAGUAAUUGGCUUUUUCUUCUCCUUUUUGUUUUUGUGACUUCUAAACUUUCUCUGCUCGUUAUUUUUCUUGUAGAAUUUUCUGAAUCUUCUGGCCAACAUAGCCAACUCCUCAUUAUCCAUCUCACUUUCCUCAUCAUUAUCACAUUUUGAGGCUUUGAGAGCAAUGCUCUUCUUCUUUUCCUCAUGUCAUUUUUCUGCUGUCAAAUCUUCUUCAUAUGAAAUAAGAGAACCAAUUAAAUCAUUAAUGGGUAAUACAUUUAAAUCUUUGGCUUCCUCAAUGGCAGUCCUGUUUGGUCUCCAUUCCUUAGGUAGCGACCUAAUGAUUUUCUUAACUUUCUCGCUAUCUGAAAAGUCUUUCCUAGGGCUCCUAGAGUGUUCACUAUGUCCAUAAAUCUAGUAUACAUAGAGUACACACUCUCAUUUUGUUCCAUUUGGAACAAUUCAUAUUGUCGAGUGUACCUACUUAUUUUAGAUUCUUUCACUUGAUUAGUGACUUCAUAAACAACUUCAAGUUUGUGCCAAAUUUCAUUAGCACUUUCGCAACUAGACACUCUAUGAAACUCUUUCUUAUCUAGUGCACAAAACAAGGCAUUCAUAGCCUGGAAUUUAGAGAAGCUUUUCUCUUUUCGAAUUCAUUCCAUUCCCGUGAAGGUUUUGAAAUAUCUUCCCCAACUUUAUUUUUAGUCAAAGGUAUAAAAGGACCAUCAUUAACGAUUUCCCAAAUUUCGUAAUCUAAAGCUUGCAAGUAAAUUCACAUCUUAUCUUUCCAAUAAGGGUAAUCGUUUCCAUCAAAAUAUGGUUGUCUAGUGGUGGACUGUCCUUCCCUAAAUGUAGAAUUAUUUUGAGUUGCCAUUGAUCUUUAGCUCUAGACGGUUAAGUCUAAAUAAUAGCACCUUACUCUGAUACCAAAAUAAAAUAUAAGUGUGCAACCCAAGAGGGGGGUGAAUUGGUAUUUUAAAAAUUAUUCUAACAAAGCCACAAAACAAUCCAAUCUAACGCCUUAAUAAAUUCGAAAGCAAUAAGUUCAAUAAAAGCACAAUAACAAAUGAGUAAGGGAGAAGAGAAACAACACGAAUUUUUACGUGGUUCGGCAAUCCCCGCCUACGCACGAAUUUUUACGUGGUUCGGCAAUCCAAGCUUGAGGAUUUCACUAUCCGAGCCUUUCCAAGGCUUCAAACAUUUACAAUUGACUUCAAGGUGUCAAUGAACCUUUACAACAAAGAGAUUAUCUCCCAAUAUCUUCACUCAAGUGUCUCACACACUCAAACACUUACAAUUAAGAUGAAGAAAUAAAAGUUACAACAAAACUCACUCAAAGAGUAGAUAUUCAAAAUGAAGAACAAGAGAUGAUUCAAUGUUUUAUGAUUUACGAAUUGAGAGCUCAAGAUAUCUCGUGUGCCUUUUGUUUUUGCUUGCUAGAGAGCUUGAAAAUGAAUUGGAUUUGAUUUUAUAUAGUUUGAGCUCAAAAACUAGUCGUUAUGCACAUUUUGGUCAUAAUUGGCUUACCAUUUAUUUUUAUAUAGUUUGAGCUCGAAAAUGAAUUGGAUUUGAUUUUAUAUAGUUUGAGCUCAAAAACUAGUCGUUAUGCACAUUUUGGUCAUAAUUGGCUUACCAUUUAUGGAAUCCAGUUAGCCGUUUUUAUAUUACCAUUAAGGUAAAAAUUUAAAUUUUAGAAUAUUCGGCAUGCCACUUUUCAUAUCCAGUUAGCCGCUUUUGAAAUCCGGAUAGCCACUUGCGAAAUCCGGAUAGUCGUUUAUGCUCCAGUUAGCCGCUUGCAAAAUCCGCUUAUCAUAUCCGGUUAGCCGCUUGCUACAUUAACUGCUAUAGUAAAAUAUUUUUUAAAAUUAUAGUUUGACCCCAAAACUUUAUAAAACUAUAUUAUGGCCCAAAUCAUUAUGAAAGCUUUCAAAUAGGUCCAAUUUCAGAAUUUCUAAAUAAUGCUUUGUCAAUCCCAAAACUUUUUGAAAUUAUGAUUUCACCCAAACUAUGUGAAAUUAUAGAAUGACCCAAAAUAUUUAAAUAUUUUCAAAUAGGUCUAAAUCUGAAAUUUUAAAACAAUAUCAAAAGUUUUAAAAUAUUUUCAUUUUAGUCCAAAACACUUUAAUUCCAUAACAUCAUUUUCUUAUUAUAAAAGCACAAUUCAUAAAUCUUUGUUUAAUCAACACAUGUGGUUUGUUAUUAUCAAAAUCAAUAUCUAUAGCCAUAUAGGCUAACAGUAAUAGGUAGCCAAACGUGGGGUCUAAGCAUUAUUAUAAGAAUGACAUAUCUAUUAUACUGGUAGUUCAUCUUUUACCAUGAAGAUUAGAGGCCUAAAGCACAUAGGAAAGCUAAAGCUUUUAUAAUCUUGUCGGCAACGUUGGAUAAUUAACUUAUACUAUUAUUAUUAUUAUUAUUAUUAUUAUUAUUAUUAUUAUUAUUAUUAUUAUUAUUAUUAUUAUUAUUAUUAUUAUUAUUAUUAUUAUUAUUAUUAUUAUUAUUAUUAUUAUUAUUAUUAUUAUUAUUAUUAUUAUUAUUAUUAUUAUUAUUAUUAUUAUUAUUAUUAUUAUUAUUAUUAUUAUUAUUAUUAUUAUUAUUAUUAUUAUUAUUAUUAUUAUUAUUAUUAUUAUUAUUAUUAUUAUUAUUAUUAUUAUUAUUAUUAUUAUUAUUAUUAUUAUUAUUAUUAUUAUUAUUAUUAUUAUUAUUAUUAUUAUUAUUAUUAUUAUUAUUAUUAUUAUUAUUAUUAUUAUUAUUAUUAUUAUUAUUAUUAUUAUUAUUAUUAUUAUUAUUAUUAUUAUUAUUAUUAUUAUUAUUAUUAUUAUUAUUAUUAUUAUUAUUAUUAUUAUUAUUAUUAUUAUUAUUAUUAUUAUUAUUAUUAUUAUUUAUGUUAGUAAGAAUUUACAUUGCUAACUAAUUGUGCUUCACAUUUUUGUCAAAAGAUAAAAUUCAAAAGACAAUAGCUUUCUAAACAAAUAAUUAAAGACCAAACCAAAAAUUCAAAAAUACCAUUAUUGUUGAACAUUAUCUUCUUUUAUAUAAUAUAUGACCACUUGUAGAGUAAUACUGGUGCAAUGGAUAAUCUUUUUUUUUGGACAAAUUCAUGCUAUGUGGGGAUAAAAAAGUUCUCAAGUUUUGUUGUCCAUUCAUAAAUUAAAAGGAAAAAAAUAGUUUAUGAGUAAUGAGUUUGAGUUUAAGUACUCAUAUGAAUUUUUAUAAGUACUCAUUAGUUGCUAUUUACACACACAUUUAUAGUUAUUCUAGCUAGCAAAUGUUGCAUACCUUAUAUGAAUUUUUUUCUAGAGUUAAUUAUUCAUUAAAAUUGACAUCUUUUUUAUUCAUUUCAAUGGGUUAUUUUUAUUUAGGUUCCAAAACAAAUAGAUAAACUAGAAUUUCCUUCCAAUGGCUGCUACUUGCUUCCAGUGAGUUCAAUUUCUUACCAUUUAGUAUUUCUUCAGCAAGAAAUAGCUUAUGAAAUAGUAUUCCUUGAAUUUCAAUAUAUUUCUUGUAUGCUCUGUUAUAUGUGUGAUAGGCAUGAAUUUGUGGUUAAUCAAGUCAAAUGAGAAUUGAUCAAAUGUUCUAUUCCUUCUACCCUUUAUACAUACAUAUAAAAUAUGCCUCUAUUCUCUUCUUUAUGAUUCUAUUUAUCUCAAGUGUUGAAAUAUAUAGCCCUUAUAUGGAAAUCUAACUUUAUGGAAAUUUAUCAAAUUGUCUACUAGCUAAUUUUUCCCCCCAUUUUACUGGUUGUGUUAGACAUGGACAUGGGAAGAAAAUUUUCUUUCAUCAUAUGGCAAAUGAAGUUGAGGUUCAUGUUGAUUGUGAUGUAUUUUUUGUUAAUGAUAUUGAUUCGAAGGCAUAACGAAAGAAAAAUGAUUCAUAGUCGUACAUUCUAAUUCCAUGCGACUCGACUACAAUACUUAGAUAGUAUUAUAGGCAAGAGUGACAUACGUAAAUCAACUAAGAAUGGAUAGAAGGACAUUUGGCCUACUAUGUGAGCUACUUCAAUCGAGGGGACUAAAGGCUAGUGGUUCAUUGGUUGGUGAAGAGCAAGUUUGCAUGUUCCUACACACUUUGUCUCAUCAUGUUAAAAAUCGCACAAUUGGAAGUAGGUUUUUUAGAUCUGGUGAGAUUGUUAAUAGAUACUUCAAUUCAGUGUUAAACGGAGUAUUACAGCUACAUGAUGUUUUACUAAGGGUGUUAGACCCCGUACUAGAGAAUUGCACUGAUGAGAGGUGGAAGUGGUUUAAGGUACAUUUUCAAUUACUUAUAUUUUAUUAUAGCGACUGAUAAUUUAAUCCUAAUUAAAUUUUCGUUUGUUUUAUACAUGUAGAAUUGCUUGGGGGCAUUGGAUGGAACUUAUAUUAGAGUCCAUGUGCUAGAAAAUGAUAAGCCAAGAUAUCGAGCAAGAAAGGGUGAGAUUGCUACAAAUGUUUUAGGGGUAUGUUCACGAGAUAUGAAAUUCAUCUUCAUGAUGCCCGGAUGGGAAGGAUUUGCCUCUGACUCAAGAGUACUUCAUGAUGCAUUAAAUAAAUCGACUGGUUCAAAAGUUCCUACAAGUAUUAGUCAUUCCAAAAAAUUAAUUUAAUCAAAUUACAUAUUCAAAAACAAAAUUAUAUUAAUGCUUAUGUGAAAUAAAUAGGUUAUUACUAUCUUGUGGAUGCCGGAUAUACAAAUGCCGAAGGAUUCUUUACACCAUAUAGGGAAACAAGAUAUCACUUAUCGGAAUGGAGAGAUGAGUGUGCUCCUCGCAAUAAAAAAGAAUUCUUUAAUAUGAAACAUUUAUCAAUAAGAAACGUAAUUGAACGGUGUUUUGGAUUGCUCAAAAUGCGAUGGGCCAUUCUUCAAAGUCCAUUUUAUCCAAUUAAAACUCAAUGUCACAUUAUUACUGCAUGUUUUUUAUUGCAUAAUUUGAUUAGGAGAGAAAUGUUUGUGGAUCCAAUAGAGCAUGAAUUAGUUGACUUAUCUAAUAAUGAAGUAGAAGUGGACGAGCUCGAGGAAUGAUCUAGCUACUACUAUGUAUAAUAAUUGGCUAGGAAAUUAUGACUCAUCUAAUAUCUAGUUGUCAUUAAGAAAGCAUCUGAGCAUGUACUUUUGUUAGUAUAUAGAUAUCACUAGGAAAGUAUCCAAGCAAGUCCUUUUGUUAGUAUACAGAUGACAUUAAGAAAUCAUCUGAGCCUAUACUUUUGUUAGUAUGUAGAUGUCAUUAGGAAAGCAUCUGAUAUUGUACUUUUGUUAGUAUACAAAUAUCAUUAGGAAAACAUCUUUUGUUAGUAUAUAGAUAUGAUUAGGAAAGCACCUGAGACUAUACUUUUGUUAUUAUAUAUAUGUGAAUUGACUUGGUGUUAUAUUUUAGUUACUUGUUUAAAAAAUUGUUAUAUAUUUAUUUUGUAGGAAUGGACAGUGGAGGACCAAGCCAUACUACUAGAAAUAAGAUAGGCUCAAGACGAGCAUGGACAAAAGAUGAAGAAGAAGCAAUGUUGAACAUUUUAGAUGCUGUAGUUGCAAAUGCUGGUCGAGCUGAUAACGGCACCUUUAAAUCUGGAAGUUAUAAAUAUAUUGAAAAUGAAUUAGAAAAACUAUUACCAGGGAGCGGUUUGAAAGCGUACCCACAUAUUAAGUUUAAGAUCAGGAUGUGGAAGAAAAGUUAUGCAAUGAUAUUUGAUAUGUUGAACACUAGCAAUUUUGGCUAGAAUGAUGUGAGAAAAUGUGUAGUGGUUGACAGUGAAGAAAUAUGGAGAUCAUUUGUGGAGGUUAGUAAAGAGAAUAAUUUCUUUUUAUGUCAUAAUUUAUAAACAUUGUCCUUAAUUUAUUUAGGGAAAUUUACAAUGGUCCACCUAUUCGUUUUGUCUUUUUCAAAAAUACACAAACACUUUUUUUUUAGCGCGCCACCUGAAGUUUGCUUUUUGUUACAUUCGUCCACUUCUGUCUAAUUUCUGUUAGUGGAUUUAAUGGAAUGUUAACGAAAUGACUUUUUUACCCCUCAAAAUUACAAUUUAACCCAAAAUAAAUGGAAAUUGGAGAUAAAUUGGAUGGAUUUAAUUUUUUUCAAAGGUGGAUGCUAGAAAUUGGAGGAAAAUAAUGUUUGUUACUAAAUUUAGAAAAUUUGUAUUUAUUUUUUUGGAGGAAAAUAAAAAAAAUUAAAUCCAUCCAAUUUAUCUCCAAUUUUUAUUUAUUUUAGGUUAAAUUGUAAUUUUGAGGGGUAAAAAGGUCAUUCUGUUUAAUUCGCUAACAGAAAUUAAACGGAAGUGGACGAAUGCAACAAAAAGCAAACUUCAGGUGGCGCGUUGAAAAAAAAAAGUGUUUGUGUAUUUUUGAAAAAGGCAAAACAAACAGGUGGACGGUUGUAAAUUUCCCAUUUAUUUAUUGUGAAUAUAAUAGAAUUUUUUUAAUUAUCUUAUUUUAUUAUUGUAGUCCCAUAAAGAUGCAAGCAAUUAGAGAGAUAAGCCAUUUCCAUAUUAUGAGAGGCUAGCAAAUAUAUUUGGAAAAGAUCGCUCAACUGGAAGUUCAGCAAAAACUCUAAAUGAUAUGGCCAAUGCAGCAUUUCAAGAAGAAAUUCAUGAUGAUGAUAAUGAGAUUGAUGAUGAAGGUUCUCCAAUGUCGACUACACUGCCAUCAAAUUCCCAAUACACUACUUGACCACGUUCACAAUCAUCAAACAAGAGGAAGUCUAAAUUAGAUGAACAAAUUGCGGUUGGUAUUGACAAAUUGGUUUCAGCAUUUCACCAAGUCAAUGCUGACAUGUCUCAGAAUAUGUUUGGAAGUAGUGAAGAUCAUGAUUACAUUGGCUGAGAGCUUGCUUUAAUGGGACUUUUCUGUGGAUGAUGAGCUUAUUGGCUUAAAUUUGAUGGUUGAGAAGCCUUCACAUAUAAGGGCUUUUAAGGUAUUACGAAAUGAUCGUGAUCGUAAGUUGGCUUAUAUUAGGAUGCUUUUGCGUGAGCAUGAAAGGAGAGCUGGAGUUUGAUUAAAGAGUAUGGAUUUCUAACUAAACAAUGAUAUUUUGCAUUAGUAGUUUGGCUUGCAGACGUGUGUACUUAAAUUAUUUGACGCGUACAACUAUUGUAUUACUUUACUAAUUUGUGAUGCUUUUGAAGUAUGUAUUAACUUUGAAUGAAUUUUGCAUGUUUUAAUUAUUUAUUUACUCUGUGAUAGUUUUUAAAUGCUAUUUGAUUGAAUUAUUUGUUUCAAUCUUUAUUUCAUAGGUUAUAUAUUUAGGAAUUAUUGAAAAAAUAAAUCUUAUAUCAUUGUAAAUCUUAGAAUUUGUUAGUUUUACAUAUGUCUUAUAAAUAAUUAUGAUUCUUUUAUUUAAACAAAAAAAUUAAUGUAAAAAUUCUUAAAUUUAAGGCUUCUAUAUUUAGUAUUUUUCUAAGUACUAGUAGAUAUUAUUUUCUAAAUAUAUAAUUAAAAUUAAUCAUGAAAAGAAAUUAAUACAGUACAGCGCAGUACCAAACAUAAUAUAAUUAAAAAUUAAUACAGUAUAGUGUAAAACUAAAUAUUGUACAGUAUUAUUAUAAUACAGUGCUAAUGUAAUACAACAUAAUAUAAUACACUUGCAUUAAAAUAAUACAAUACAGUAUAAUAUAAUACAGUGUGUCAAACGCACCCUAUAAGCAAACCCAUGUUUUAAAAUAAGAUUUGGCUAAGUUGGAUCAUCUCUAACUUGGAGCCAAAUAAUCCUAGCCGUUGAUCCUUACACUAUUUUUCAACCGUUAAGACUAUUAAUACAAAUGAUAGGUGACCGAAUAGAAUGGUUUAAUUCAAAAUUAAAAUUUCUUUAUAAUGUAAUUAAGAUUUUUAUCUUCUUCUUCCUCAUCUUCUUCAUGUUUUCUUCAUCAAGAUUAUUUUAUUUUGAAUAUAUUUAUAUUCAAUUACAAUGCAGCGAUGAUCAUUGUUUGCCUUUUCAAGUGGGAACUAGGGGGCUUUCUUUUGCAAGGGAGAGGUUAUUUUGGAAGUGAGAAUGAAUCCUCUUAACAUUUAUGGUGCAGGGGCUUGACUAGAAUUUUAUGUUGACCCCCAGGUCAGCAAAUCACUUGCUUGUUUUGUUUUUGAUUCGAUUUACUUAGUAAUUUUAGUUAAAUGCGGUUGUUAAUUUUUGGUUUUGUCAUUCUUGUGAUUGCAAGAUCUGUAUAUGUUGAUUGAUUUUAUAUAUUGGGUUUCUUUUCUCCUUGAAUCAACCAUAAUAUUUGGUUAUUUAAUUGGAAAAUUCUGUGAAUUAAUUGAUAUUUUCCUUAUUUAUAAAUAUUUUGAUUCAGAAGUUAAUGGUUGGGCCUCAAUUUCGCGAAAUAUGGCGGUUAUGUCUAACGAAGAGGAAGACGAACAAUUCUUUGAUACUCGUGAAGAGAUCUCUUAUGUGUGUGAUUUUGAUUCGAAUUGUUCUGAGGGCUGUAGUUCUAGUGUUGAACUGGCCAAUAGUGUUUCGUUAUAUUAGUAUGAAAUCUGAACUAGGUAUCCUCAAAGUGUUAGUGAGAGACACAGUAAGUUUUUUAAGUUAAUGGGUUUUAUUUUAGAUCAAAUUUUGAUGAAUGUAGAGGAUUCGAAGGAUGAAUCACGUGUUAAAAUUCGGCUGGAUGUUGAUAGACUUGAUGAAGAAAGCAUGAAGAAGACGAGAAAGAAGAAGAUAAAAAACUUAAUUUAAUUGUAAAGAUAUUUUAAUUUUGAAUUUAACCGUGUUACCUGAUCACCUAUCAUUUGUAUUAAUAAUCUUAACGGUUGAAAAAUAAUUUAAGGAUCAACGGCUGUGGUUAGUUGGUUCUAAGUUAAAUAUGCUCGAACUCAACCAGAGCCCAUAAAAUAUCACCGCCCUUUUCAAAUAUCUGAACGACAGAACGUACCGCUCUUCAGAACAACGUCAUCACAUGGAACAGCGUCUGAUCUGACUCGAACGAAAAAGUUCUUUUUUCUUUUUUCUUUUUUCUUUUUUUUGAAUUUAUUCGAUGAUUAAUGAUUAUUUUUUAUUGGCAUUUUUUCAGUCGCAUUAUUGGGUCAUUACACACGUGUACCACCGGCAAGCACACCCAAGACCAAAAAGCGCAGGAAAAAAGCGCUCCGUCUUUGGGUCCUACCCUCACUUUCUCGUGUUGUCUGCUACUGACUCCGAAAAGGCAUUGGAUAUCUCAUCGGUGACGCUACUAUUCCCAAUAAAUGCAUUAAAAGUUUUAUUUUUUUUUUAUAAAAGAAAAAUGGUGAUCUGUUUCAAGUAGAUUAAAAAAAAAUUCUUAAAUCAUAAUCAUAUUUAUAAUAAUUGGAAGUUGGCAUGUGAUGUUACACAUUUGGCUGAAUUACAAUGCGAAUGUCUUUUUUAUUUUGAUCGAGGGGUUUUUUUUUUUUUUGAGUUUAGCCAAAAGUAUAUUUUUUAUUUUUAUUUUUCAUUAUAUUUUACAAAUUUAUCAUUUAAUAAAAUUUUGUUUUUUAUUAGAUUGGGCUCUAAAAGUUGGAAUUAUAGGAUUAAAAACUGUAAAUAUAAUGUUAUGGCCUUAUGAAUUGGUUAAAUAUAUGUAAAAAUAUAUAUAUUUGAACUUUUUUUAAAAAUAUUUUUAAAUAAAAUAAUUGGGAGACCUUAAUGCUUUAUUCAAACUGCUUUAUUCGAAAAAAAAAGGAAGAAAAAACUAACCGCCUUAUUUUCUUACAAAUGAAUAUUACGUAAAUCUAUAGCAUAUAUAUAGCGAUAAUGACAUUUCAUGGAAAACUAAUUAUUUAUUAUUUCUUUACAUGUCAUGAAAGGCAUGAUACGAAAUCAAACUUAUUAUUGUCAAGUGACAUUUACACUAAAUUAUUGAGUUGGGAUGAUUGAUUAUUAUUUUCAAUGCAGGUAUCUUCACCUCUAAUUCAUGUCCAAUAAUAGCCCGUUUGACUUUGUGAAAAUCAAAUUAUAUUUAUUUAACAUCACAUUAAACUACAUGAAAUUAAAUGUCAUUAUAUGAUCACAUUAUUGUUAUGAAAAUUAAAUUUAUUUAUUUUCCACAAUACCCAAGAAUAUCGAAUGUUGAAUAUCAUGAAAGGGCAUUGCCUUUUGUACGAAUUUGUCGUGAUAAUUGAUUUUUGAAAGAUCAUAAUGUUUGGUAGAAGAAAGAAAGGGGAGAAAGAGGAGACUAUGUAGCAAGGUAAAAACCACGUGGAUGGACAUUCAUAGAUAAAUGCAAAGCGCAAAAUAGCAUAUUGAAGAGCAAUUUCUAAAAAUAGGAUAAGUUUGGCAAUAAUGUAAUUUUUAAAAUAAUUGUUGUUAAUAGUACUGUGAAAAUAAUUAGUUAUAAAAAAAUCAAUUAAUUGUUUAGUAUAAUUUACUUUUAAAUUUGUUGUGAAUUUUAAAGCAAUCAUAAUUAUUUAAUAAAUUUUACUAGUAAAUUAUUAUAAAAUUUUAACUAAUUAAAAUAGAGAUAAUAUUGAAUAACAUUUAUAUGCACAUCCAUAACAAGUAUAUAUAAUAUAUUUUAUAAUGUAUAUAUAAUAAUUAAUAGUUAAAAUAAAUAUUUUUAUUUAUUUAUUCUUUUGUUAUCUAAAUAUAAAUAGUAUUAAAAAUCUCUUUAAAUUUAUUAAUUUUAUUUCUUAAUUAAAUAAGAACAAUUUUUGUAUUUUAAUUAUAUAUACAAGGAAAUAUAUGAAAUUAUACUAAACAUAAAAUUAAUUCUCUAAAUCAAAAAUUAAAAAAUUACACACUCCUUACUUUUUGAAAUUUAUUAUAUAACAGGUUAAUUUUAUUAAAAAUAAUUUUCUUUAAAAAAUUACUAAACAUCAAAAUUAAUUUAAAAAAUGCAAUCCCAAAGGACCAUUAGAAUCCAGUCCCAUCCUAUCUAUUUUAUCUAACAGCAAAACGAAAUCCGGAUAACAAUACAAUCCACUCAUAGGACCAAUCACCGAACGGCACGUGUCGAUAAAGCGAAACAAUCACCAUCAGCCUUCUCUGUACAGAGCUAGGUAGUUCAGCUGACACAUCUAAAUGACCCAAACACCCAUCAACUCUGUAGCCAGACUCUCAGCCAUGCCCCCAAUACCAACAGACUAACAGUGUUGAGAAUUAAGAGUCAAGCCUGCUCUGCUUCAGUGUUGUAAACACUUGACGCUAAAAAACACUUUUCUCUUUCGUUAGCUUGUACGAGAAACAAGACAACAACUCAAAUCCUGCAAACGGAAAAGGAGGAAAAACACUUUCUUUAAAGCAAGAAUGUGUCAACAGAAGAGUCCUCCACCGAAGAGAAAGCAGAAAAUUAGCGGAAAUAAUGUUGCCGUGAAUAAACCAGCGGCUCGAAGAAGCAGAACAAAGAGAAGGAAGCCCAAGUACUUGAGUCUGAACUUGAAGCUGAGCCCACAAGACAGGAGUCAUCAUCAACAGAGCUCUAACAAGAAGAGCAAAAUGAAGCAAAAGCAACAAAUGAAGCAGCUGAAUCUUUUCCCGCUUCACCCGGGAGAUCAUGGCAGCAAAUUAGAUAUGCAUGAUCAAGAAAGCAACAACGUAAUGGUUGCAAGUUUGCUUUUCGAUACGGCCACCGACAGCACCACUACCCUCGACGGCCUACUCACAGCAUCGGAGGAGGGCCUACUGUCGUCCUCGCCGCUGUUUAGUCACGGUAGCGGUGACGGUCACCGUGAGUGCAGUGAUUAUGGUCUUGUACGGACGGCGAUGAGGUGUAAAGAGAGGGAUGCGAGUGAGGAGAGGUGGGUGAGUUACAGUGAGGUGGUAGAUUCGAAGAAGAAGAAGAUUAUUAAAGAAGAGGAAGGGAGUAGUUGCGUUGAUGAUGAUGAUGACGAUGCGGGCGCAUGGCGUGUGAAGCAGGUGCGGGGGAAGAAGAGGUUAUCGUUGGCUUUGAAGCUUGAUUAUCAGGAGGUCUUGAACGCCUGGUCUGAUAAGGCCCCACUUUUUGUUGAUGGAGGAGAGUCCCCACAAACCGUCCCUGAUUUGUAUGAUGAUCCCAACGUAAGAUAUAUUUCACUGUUUAAUCAAUUACCAUUCAUGUACUCUAUAAUGUGUUAAUUAUCAACUUGUGCACAUGUAUUCAUGUAUGUGUUUCUUUGGGAAUUCAGAAUUGAAUCAAUUGAUGGUGCUUGUGACUAUUUUGGAAAUGGGAGCACUUUCUUGCCCUUUUUUGGGACCCAAGUGUAACUUUUAGCCAGCUAUGUGCUGGUGCUUUAUGGCCUAGUUCUACCUUUGUUACAUGAACUGACUAUUCAUAGAAGACACUAGUGAAAAUGUCAAAAAUUAAAAAAAUAUGAAUAGGCAAAAAGGUAAUCAAUUGUUAAUGCCACAUCAAUUUGGAUACAUUCUGUUUUACAGUUGAUAAUGAAGUUCAUUAGCCAUGAGAUUGAUGAUGGUGGUUACUUGGGAAAUAUCUUGCAACUGCAUGUUUCUAUGUAUAUUGACCUGAUGUGUGGUUCCUUUCAUGUGAUAUGCUCGAAUGCCAAACUUCCGAUUGAAUUGCAUGAGCUAAUUCCUUGUUAAGAAGAGAUGUGGUGUUCCGUAAAUAUUUUAUCUCAGCAAUAAUAUUAUGGGUGUAUUUGUGUUGCAACAGAUGCUAUUUGAUGCUGGCAACAGUGGGAAUUUAUUUAGUGUCCCAGAAAUGACUGGUAAUGCUAGUAGCUUCAAAGUUGAUGAAUUGGGUAAAGAGGGAUGGAGUAAAGAGCAUAGGGAGGCAAGUGUUAUGAGAUACAAGGAGAAAAGGCAAAAUAGGCUAUUCUCGAAGCGUAUCCGAUAUGAGGUACGAAAGCUCAAUGCUGAGAAGCGCCCUCGAAUGAAGGUACCUUCUCCCUCUCUUGGAUUUUCUUUCUUCCUGUCAUCAAUAUUCCAAAGAUUAAUGAUAUUCUAUUUCUACCAUGAAUUGUUUCAUGCUGCAUGUAGAAAUAAUACAGUGGAAUGUAAAUGAAAUAAUACAGUGGGGUCCAAAGAUUAAUAAUAUUCUAUAACUUUUCGCCUUUGCAUAUAAUUUAACCUCAUUUUAAGGACCCCACUGUAUUAUUUCAUUAAAAAGUUGAUCAUGCUAUUUGAAUUACAAGUUCUCUCCUACCAUGAAGAGUUAUCUCAUUCCCUUUUGAUACACACCAUCAUGUCCAGCUACUGCACAUUAUUUUGAAGUCUAAUUUAUGGCAUGUGCGCAUGUGGGCAUUGAUCCCAGUAUUGGGUAAUAUUGCAAACAGUCCCACGCAGCCCGAUGGGAACUGUCAGCUGACUUGAUUUAUCUGAAGCUAUGUUCUACUACACUCUUUUUUAAAUUUUAGGUUCAUGUAAGUUGCACAAAAGCAACUUGAAAUCUGGUUUGAGGAGACUGUAUUUUGUACUCCAAUCAAACCAUAUAUAUAUAUAUAUAUAUCAAGAGUUAUAUUCUUUUUUAACUGCAAAGAGGGAGACUAGACCCUGCUAACUUGAUCAUUUCCUACUAAGAUCAUGUUUAACUAAGACUGACGUAUGAAUAAAGUCCUAGAAGUUCAUGUUAGCUCAGUUUGGAAAAUCAAAACUUUAACUGAUGUAAUUUAGUCAAGUGGAAUCAAGAUUUCAAGCGUCUGUUGAAAUGCUAAUUUUUCCAAUGAAGUAAUAAUUUGGUGGCAUUGUUUGUUAAAGAAUGGCCACUCCGCACAAAUGCUCAUGGACUUCUUUGCCUCUCCAUUGUUUCCACCUCCAUCUAGCCCUCUCACUCCAGUCACGUUUUCCUUUCUUCGCCCUGUCUGACCUUUACUCUAUCCCCUCUUCCUGACGUUUGUAAAAAGUUAACAAAAGAAUUGUCAUCUCAACAAAAGUAAUCCUCAUGUCAUCAAAUAUAUUAGGUGCCAGUCCCUAAUUACAAAUUUUUAAGAACCAUAUUGUACGGUUUGUAAUUUAAAGAACUAAACAGAGAUAUUUAUUCGAGCUCGAAGUACCAAAUGUGCAUGUAAUCCUUCAUUCUUUAGAUAAUACUCACUGUAUUCUGUGUACCCUCCUCUUCCUUCAGAUAAAUGCCUUAAUCAAAAGUUAACACGUAUGUCUCCCAAAAAAUUGUCAUCUCAGUUUCAGAAAACUUUUGAUACAUUAAUAGACACGUCGAUUAAUGUUAGUCUGCUGUUAGAUUAAACUAAACAGCAUACAAAUAUUCUAGUAUGAAGUUAAAUUGAUUGGAAAUUAUGGACUAAUAAUAUGAGAUUUCGAGUGAAUAGACGCAAAAAGAAUAGUUUAACUUGUAUAUAUUCUUUAAAUACUAUCUGAGGCCUAUUCCUGAGAUCAUAUCCUUACUAUAACAUGAAAUUCAUUAAUAAUGCGUUGUGUUCAGUACUAUGAUUAGUCAUGUAUGCUUGUUGUCUUAUUUGUUUAUAUAAUAGUAUAUAGUUAUAUACCUUUUUGGUAUUCCAAAUAUAUAAUUGAUAGAUUUUGAUAUCUACAUUGCAGGGUCGAUUUGUGAAAAGAAAUUCAGAAGUGUAGAUUUUUGCACAUAGUACUGUUGCUUGAUUGGAAGAGUGGCACUUAAUUGGAAUGCUUAGGCUUCCCUGCUCCUUUGUUCUGUUGUAUUCCGAAUGAUACAUGGCAGGGGCAUAAGUUUUAUAAUGAAAGCUAGCCGCCACUCUCUUCCAAAAGAAAAAAAUGGCCGUAGAGGCACUAUUGAGCGCUGAGAAAAGCAAACUUUUGGGAAUAAGAAAAAUAAAAAUUACAUGCAUGUUUGUAAAUGUUUACAAUCAGAAGAUAUAUUACAAUGUGGGAAUCAAUUUGUCGGAAUUUGAGCUUAACAUUUUCGUUACCUCUAAAUAUAUACAGUGCAGGUAUGGUCGAGGAUCUUGUAAUUUAUUAAAUUCUCAAAAAAAAAAACUAUUAAAAUAUGCGAUUUAAUAAAUAAUAAUAUUAUAUUAUUAAACCAACAGCUUCUGCAUGUAUGUGUAUAUGUAUGACUAUCUUGAAAUUUACACACAUCAGCAACUUUAAGAAAAAAUCUAUAUGUAUCCAAAAAUAUCUAUUGAGAACAGUGGUGAAGCUCGUAACAGUUUUUUUUAGUAGAAAUAUUCACGGAUUGGAUUUUACGGAUUGGACAUCAAUUUAUAUUCGAUUUAUGAUUUUGUAGAUUAUAAAUUUUUAAUCUAAUCCAAUCCAACGAUUGGUAAAAUUCAAUUUAAAUUCAAUCCAUACGUCUGCGAAUUUGAUGCAGAUUUAACCCAAUCCAUAUCUAAUCUACCAUUUUGCAUAUUGAUUUGUGGGCUCAAAAUUUUUAAUUCUAUGCUAUCCACGAACUAACUAAAUAAAAAUAAUUAAUAUAAAAAUGAUUUUAUUACUAAUCAAAUUUAAAAUUAAAUAAAAUUUAAAUAAAUUAAUUGUUUAAAUAAAGGUAAAAAAAUACAUUUAAAAUUUCAAAAUAUAACACACCAAAAAGAAAAAAAUCUCAUUUGUUUAAAUCAAUACAUAAAAAUUAACUACUUAGGAAGAUUUUUUUUAUUUAAUUAUUUUUAUUUCUAUUAUUAUCGGAUAAGAUAUAAUAUGGUGUUAAUGUAACUAUAUUUUAACUUAUUUAUUUAUUAGUAAGUACUAAUGUCAUAUUUACAAGUUUAAUUUUUUUAUUAAAUAAAUUUUUUUUGUAGAUUCGUGGAUUUUUGUAGAUUUACAAAAGUAAAUUUAUAUCUAAUCCACCGACUGCAUAUUUUUAAAUUUUCAAUCCAAUACAAUUCACUAAUCCACGGGCCAGAUUUUUACGAAUUAAAUUUAUACGGAUCAAACGGAUUGAGCAGAUCAUAUUAGAUUCUGAACACUCCUAUUUUUUGGGAAUUUUUUUUUCAAUUACUGUUUACAGUCACUAAUUAAUAUUUUUCUUUGUUUAUUGAUUGGUUGUUUGACAUUAAACCCCGUAAUAAUAAUACCAGUAAUUAGUAAUAAUUCAUAAAAAAUAUCACAACAAAUCUUUUAUUGUUAGAAAAGUUAUUAGUCAGCAAUACAAAAUAAAGAAACAAUACAAGAUGAAUAAUAAAAUGAGAGGGUAAUAUAUUAUAAAGUGAUUUUAUUCAUUUCAAGUAUGUGUACAAAAGAAAGAGAUUAGCUCUCCUUUUAUAGUUACAUAAUCACUCCAUGAAAUAAAUGUAAAAAUUAUGGAUCAUAAUUCCUUGUGAGAUAGUGGGAGUUAUAGGGAAGUUAAAGAUUGCUAAUGUGAGAUAGUGGGGAAACUAAGAGAUAUAUGUUAUGAACAUCCACAUUUAUUUUAAUAAAUUCAUAACAUUCCCCCUUGGAUGUUCAUUACAAAGAAUAUGCCUCAUUAAAACCUUCACUAAAAAAAAACCCUUAGGAAAAAAAUAGUAAAGAAAAAAUGGUACAUUAUUCAUUGAUGUCUUGAAUAAUUUUGGAGAUAUAAAGUUGCCUCAUUAAAAUCUUACUAGGAAAAACCCAAUAGGAUAAAACCUAGUGAGGAAAAAGAGUACAACAUAUAAAAUUUCUUCCCGAAUAAAUUAUUUUCCCCAAUAAGUAUACUCCCCCCUCAUCUUGACAUAGAUUCUUCAAGAUUUGGAGAAAAAUCUUUGAGUUGACGCAUCCCAAUUUUGUGUACCAACUUUUUGAAUGUCGCCGUAGGUAGGGAUUUUGUAAAUAAAUCUGCAAGAUUAUCACUUGAGUGUAUGUGCUUAAUAUCUAUUUCGCCAUUCUUUUGAAGCUCAUGUGUAUAAAAGAAUUUGGGUGAAAUAUGCUUGUUCCUAUCACCUUUUAUAUAACCACAUUUAAUUUGGACAAUGCAUGUUGCAUUAUCCUCAUAUAAUAUUGUAGGGUUAUUUUUAAUUAAUGACAAUCCACAUGUUUCUCGAAUAUGUUGUAUCAUUGAUCUUAACUAAAUGCACUCACGACUUGCUUCAUGAAUAGCAAGAAUUUCUGAAUGAUUUGAAGAUGUUGCAACCAUUAUUUGUUUCAUUGAUCACAAAGAUACAGUAUUAUUACCAGAGGUAAACAAAUAACAUGUUUGAGAUCGGGCUUUAUAUGGAUCAGAGAGAUAUCCAACAUCUGCAUAU
rnacentral:lncRNA from 1 species